UACGGGGGGAGCAAGCGUUGUUCGGAUUUACUGGGCGUAAAGGGCGCGUAGGCGGUCAGCACGAGUCAGUUGUGAAAUCUCCGGGCUUAACUCGGAAAGGUCAACUGAUACUGUGCGACUAGAGUGCGGAAGGGGCAACUGGAAUUCUCGGUGUAGCGGUGAAAUGCGUAGAUAUCGAGAGGAACACCUGCGGCGAAGGCGGGUUGCUGGGCCGACACUGACGCUGAUGCGCGAAAGCCAGGGGAGCGAACGGG
rnacentral:rRNA from 1 species